rnacentral:rRNA from 1 species
AGCAGCCGCGGUAAUUCCAGCUCCAAUAGCGUAUAUUAAAGUUGUUGCAGUUAAAAAGCUCGUAGUUGAAUUUCGGGCUCUGUCCGUCGGUCGGGCUUCACGGUCCGUACUGGUGUGAUGGGUUCCUACCUUCUGAAUAACCGGCAUGCCAUUCAGUUGGUGCGCCGGGGAAGCAGAGCUAUUACCUUGAAAAAAUUAGAGUGCUUAAAGCAGGCUAGUGCUUGAAUAGAUUAGCAUGGAAUAAUAAAAUAGGAAGGCAUGGUUCUAUUUUGUUGGUUUCUAGGAUCACCGUAAUGAUUAAUAGGGAUAGUUGGGGGCAUUAGUAUUCAAUUGUCAGAGGUGAAAUUCUUGGAUUUAUUGAAGACUAACUUCUGCGAAAGCAUUUGCCAAGGAUGUUUUCAUUAAUCAAGAACGAAAGUUAGGGGAUCGAAGACGAUCAGAUACCGUCGUAGUCUUAAC